UACGUAGGGCGCAAGCGUUAUCCGGAAUUAUUGGGCGUAAAGAGCUCGUAGGUGGCUUGUUGCGUCUGCCGUGAAAGCCCGUGGCUUAACUACGGGUCUGCGGUGGAUACGGGCAGGCUAGAGGCUGGUAGGGGCAAGCGGAAUUCCUGGUGUAGCGGUGAAAUGCGCAGAUAUCAGGAGGAACACCGGUGGCGAAGGCGGCAUCCUGGACCGGCAUUGACGCUGAGGCGCGAAAGCUAGGGGAGCAAACGGG
rnacentral:rRNA from 1 species